AUGAACGCUGGCGGCGUGCCUAACACAUGCAAGUCGAACGGAGUUGUCACCAUGAAGUUUUCGGAUGGAUUGGUAACAACUUAGUGGCGGACGGGUGAGUAACGCGUGGGUAACCUGCCUCAUACUGGGGGAUAACAGCUGGAAACGGCUGCUAAAACCGCAUAAGAUCGCAUCACCGCAUGGUGAGGCGGUUAAAUAUCGAAAGAUAGGUAUGAGAUGGGCCCGCGUCUGAUUAGCUAGUUGGUGAGAUAAGAGCCCACCAAGGCGACGAUCAGUAGCCGGCUUGAGAGAGUGACCGGCCACAUUGGGACUGAGACACGGCCCAAACUCCUACGGGAGGCAGCAGUGGGGAAUAUUGCACAAUGGGGGAAACCCUGAUGCAGCGACGCCGCGUGAGUGAAGAAGUGCUUCGGCAUGUAAAGCUCUAUCAGCAGGGAAGAAGAUGACGGUACCUGACUAAGAAGCCCCGGCUAACUACGUG
rnacentral:rRNA from 1 species